rnacentral:rRNA from 1 species
AGCAGCCGCGGUAAUUCCAGCUCCAAUAGCGUAUAUUAAAGUUGUUGCAGUUAAAAAGCUCGUAGUUGAAUUUCGGGAUCAGUAUGUUGGUCGUGCUUCGGUACGUACUGUCAUUACUGGUUUCUACCUUCUGAAGAACCUUGAUGUCAUUAAUUUGGUGUCUUGGGGAAUCAGGACUGUUACUUUGAAAAAAUUAGAGUGUUUAAAGCAAGCAUACGCUUGAAUACAUUAGCAUGGAAUAAUGAAAUAGGACGUUUGAUUCUAUUUUGUUGGUUUCUAGGAUCGACGUAAUGAUUAAUAGGGAUAGUUGGGGGCAUUAGUAUUCAAUUGUCAGAGGUGAAAUUCUUGGAUUUAUUGAAGACUAACUACUGCGAAAGCAUUUGCCAAGGAUGUUUUCAUUAAUCAAGAACGAAAGUUAGGGGAUCGAAGACGAUCAGAUACCGUCGUAGUCUUAACCAUAAACUAUGCCGACUAGGGAUCGGAUGAUGUUAUUUUUAAUGACUCAUUCGG